CCUACGGGUGGCAGCAGUGAGGAAUAUUGGUCAAUGGGCGCGAGCCUGAACCAGCCAAGUAGCGUGAAGGAUGAAUGCCCUACGGGUGUUAAACUUCUUUUAUAAGGGAGAAAAGUGAAGCACGUGUGCCUUUUUGUCUGUACUUUACUACUAAGCAUCAGCUAACUUCGUGCAAGCAGCCGCGUUAAUAUGGAGGAUCCGAGCGUUUUACGGAUUUAUUGGGUGUAAAGGUAGCGUAGAUUGGUUGAUAAGUCAGUUGUGAAAGCUUGCGGCUCAACCGUAGAAUUGCAAUUGAUAUUGGCAGCCUUGAGUACAGUUGAGGUAGGCGGAAUUCGUAGUGUAGCGGUGAAAUGCGUAGAUAUCACGAAGAACUCCGAUUGCGAAGGCAGCUUACUAAACUGCCACUGACAUUGAUGCGCGAAAGUGUGGGUAUCAAACAGGAUUAGAUACCCGGGUAGUC
rnacentral:rRNA from 1 species